rnacentral:lncRNA from 1 species
CACAUUCUCCUCAUACAAACAUAUGAUUUCAUAUUUUGCGUCGAUAGCCCGGACGUCUCUAGACCACCGCACUCAUCAUCCACCAUGCGCUGAUAUGGAAACAUCUUUGCACCCGUAAUCACCACAUAACUGCACUGGUAGCUGAGACAUCUCUGGACCUCCGCAAUCAUCACAUCUGUGUCGCUCGCUCAAACAUCUAUGGCCCCC